UACGGAGGGGGCUAGCGUUGUUCGGAAUUACUGGGCGUAAAGCGCACGUAGGCGGCUUUGUAAGUUAGAGGUGAAAGCCCAGGGCUUAACCCUGGAAUUGCCUUUAAGACUGCAUCGCUCGAAUUGUGGAGAGGUGAGUGGAAUUCCGAGUGUAGAGGUGAAAUUCGUAGAUAUUCGGAAGAACACCAGUGGCGAAGGCGACUCACUGGACACAUAUUGACGCUGAGGUGCGAAAGCGUGGGGAGCAAACAGG
rnacentral:rRNA from 1 species